AAAAAUUGCACUUGGAAUUUACUCAGAACUGCCUGUCAGGCUCUGAGGUCAGGCUAAAAUGCAUCCUGUGCUCAAAACAACACCAAUAUUUCUCAUAUCAUUAAGUCUGAAUAACUAUUUCCCUCCUAGAAUUACUCGCUCUCGGUCUCACAAGAAAAAACAAAACAAAACAAACAAAAAAAAAGCUGGCUUUUUCCACAUCCACGUGUUUUUUGUUCAUAAUUCAUGUCAGGAGGCAUUUUUACAUUUGGACACUAAUAUGUCUUGCAGGUUCAAAGUACAGACUCUGUCAGAUACGUGUCACGUCAGAAGCCUCAAGAAAGUGGUCUUAAUCUGUGCAGACUUUAGACAAGUGAGAAAAUUGGUGAGAAGAUGAGGACUGACAUAUUGUUUUGGAAAGGCAUGAAAAUGUGUGGGUACGAUGCAGCCAUAUGUGAGAGGAAGAAAUGGGAUGUGGUAAGUAAAUCAAGCAGGAAUAUUUUCCAUUUCUCCCAUGAAAAAGCGGAAAUACUUCUAAAUUUUCACCUUUAAUUUAAAUAAAAGGAUUAGGAGGAAUGAAGUAGGCA
rnacentral:lncRNA from 1 species